CCUACGGGUGGCAGCAGUCGAGAAUCAUUCACAAUGGGGGAAACCCUGAUGGUGCGACGCCGCGUGGGGGAAUGAAGGUCUUCGGUUUGUAAACCCCUGUCAUGUGGGAGCAAAUUAAAAAGAUAGUACCACAAGAGGAAGAGACGGCUAACUCUGUGCCAGCAGCCGCGGUAAUACAGAGGUGCCAAGCGUUGUUCGGAAUCACUGGGCGUAAAGCGUGCGUAGGCUGUUUCGUAAGUCGUGUGUGAAAGGUGCGGGCUCAACCCGCGGACGGCACAUGAUACUGCUAGACUAGAGUAAUGGAGGGGGAACCGGAAUUCUCGGUGUAGCAGUGAAAUGCGUAGAUAUCGGGAGGAACACUCGUGGCGAAGGCGGGUUCCUGGACAUUAACUGACGCUGAGGCACGAAGGCGAGGGGAGCGAAAGGGAUUAGAUACCCUGGUAGUC
rnacentral:rRNA from 1 species